UAAUUCUUUGCUUCAUCUUCGUGAUAUUUCAAUGAACAAUCCGUUACUCUUCUUCUCGAUUAAACGUUUCUAGAAGGGAUUUUGUUUGGGGAUAAAUGGAGAGUGAAAUAAUCUCAUACAGCUCGUCAGAUAUUGGAUUCAUCGAUAUUGCAUUCUGUUCCUGAAGGAAUCGAGAAUUUGGAUUAAAAUUUAGGAAAACAUCAGCUACUACCAUCGAUAGAAAAUGGCUUCGGUUCAAUAAUCUAUUUUCCCAAUCCUGAUCUUAGAGAAAUUUUUUGCUUCAUCUUUCAAAGGUAAUUGAAAACUCCAAUACUUUUUAAAGUUUUGCUUCAACAUAAAUCGAUUAAAAGAUUGGUGGUCAAUCUGAUGUAUGAGUUAAACUUGCUUCUGUAUCAAACGACACCACUGACCGAAGAUUCUCAAGCCAAAAAGGAAAAGAACUCAAAAACAAUGGCUGGACAAUUAACUGCAUCCCACGUAUAAUUGUUGCAUCUUACCAAUACCCAACAAAGGAAAAUUGAUUUUGUAGGUUUGACUGGAUGUACACCACCAUAUUCAUGGAUUCUCAUUUCCUACUCACUCAAAGGCUUUUGUCUAGAUCUUUUCUUUGGAUAACUCUUCUUCUUUCAAGUUCCAGGUAUUCUUCUAAAGUGGAUGUACAACGCUGGCUUUCACAGAUUAGAGCUGUUAUCUGCAACAAUCCGGAUAGGUUACUGAAAUGUUUCUUUAUACUACUGUAUGUACACCUUUCAUCAUCCACCACGUGUACAGAAAGAGACACGUGGAAGGCAUGCGAAGCGAGACAUCAAAACAUGAUAACAAACAUCUCAUCAGAAGAUGCCAUCGGUCAACAGAUCUAACGGUCAGGGACAGAGGACCACAGAGGUAUGAUGGCUCAGAGGAGCACCAGAUAAUA